rnacentral:rRNA from 1 species
AUGCACGCUGGCGGCGUGCCUAAUACAUGCAAGUCGCGCGAACGGACGAGAAGCUUGCUUCUCUGAUGUUAGCGGCGGACGGGUGAGUAACACGUGGAUAACCUACCUAUAAGACUGGGAUAACUUCGGGAAACCGGAGCUAAUACCGGAUAAUAUUUUGAACCGCAUGGUUCAAAAGUAAAAGACGGUCUUGCUGUCACUUAUAGAUGGAUCCGCGCUGCAUUAGCUAGUUGGUAAGGUAACGGCUUACCAAGGCAACGAUGCAUAGCCGACCUGAGAGGGUGAUCGGCCACACUGGAACUGAGACACGGUCCAGACUACUACGGGAGGCAGCAGUAGGGAAUCUUCCGCAAUGGGCGAAAGCCUGACGGAGCAACGCCGCGUGAGUGAUGAAGGUCUUCGGAUCGUAAAACUCUGUUAUUAGGGAAGAACAUAUGUGUAAGUAACUGUGCACAUCUUGACGGUACCUAAUCAGAAAGCCACGGCUAACUACGUG